ACGCUGGCGGCGUGCCUAAUACAUGCAAGUCGAGCGAACUGAUUAGAAGCUUGCUUCUAUGACGUUAGCGGCGGACGGGUGAGUAACACGUGGGCAACCUGCCUGUAAGACUGGGAUAACUUCGGGAAACCGAAGCUAAUACCGGAUAGGAUCUUCUCCUUCAUGGGAGAUGAUUGAAAGAUGGUUUCGGCUAUCACUUACAGAUGGGCCCGCGGUGCAUUAGCUAGUUGGUGAGGUAACGGCUCACCAAGGCAACGAUGCAUAGCCGACCUGAGAGGGUGAUCGGCCACACUGGGACUGAGACACGGCCCAGACUCCUACGGGAGGCAGCAGUAGGGAAUCUUCCGCAAUGGACGAAAGUCUGACGGAGCAACGCCGCGUGAGUGAUGAAGGCUUUCGGGUCGUAAAACUCUGUUGUUAGGGAAGAACAAGUACGAGAGUAACUGCUCGUACCUUGACGGUACCUAACCAGAAAGCCACGGCUAACUACGUGCCAGCAGCCGCGGUAAUACGUAGGUGGCAAGCGUUAUCCGGAAUUAUUGGGCGUAAAGCGCGCGCAGGCGGUUUCUUAAGUCUGAUGUGAAAGCCCACGGCUCAACCGUGGAGGGUCAUUGGAAACU
rnacentral:rRNA from 2 species